rnacentral:lncRNA from 1 species
CACCUCAUCACAUUCAACUUAAUUUUUUGUCUGUUGGAAUGGCCCAACAUGUAAUUCUUUUCUCCUGAGCUUAAAACCCUUCACACAUGAACAUUUUAGCUAAGGUACACUAGUUUGGUUCAGUAGAUCUCAGUCUUUUAAGACCUGUUGAAAAUAAAUAGACCUUUGGCUGUACAAAAAUACUUUUGUUUGCUUUAUAUUGAGGGCCGUUUUGUGUUUUCCUGUGUUCUCAACAUUUUGAGUUAUUGCUGCGAAGUGGUGAAAUGGAUAAUGCAAGAAUAAUUGUUUGGUUUUGGAUCAGUAGGUUACUACCACCAUGUUAGUUGAAUUGCACUUUAGUUUUAGGUUAGACAACUAAAUUUUUCACAGCUAUACCCUGUGAAUUAGGUGUUAUUCCCCUCCCAAAGUAGUAGGUGAAGAAAGUACAUCACGAACCUCCAUGUAGUAGGAGCAGAUUGGCCUCCAAAACUGAUGCUUUUUUUCUAGAACCAUAGUGCCUACCUGUAUUUACAUUUGAAUACCAUUAAGGGAAUAGGGCAUGAAAUAACUACAGUGUAGAGACUUGAGUCUGCAAAACUUUCAGGUCAAGACUAGCAUUACCAUUUUCUAUUCCCAUGAGGGUAAAGUAGUUAAACAUUAAUUUUGUAGGGCUUCUUUUUAUUUGCAGACUGUAUUGUAACACAUUGCUAUUGAAUUACUAGAUUAUUUUCUCAUCUGGUUUGGUAAUACAUUUAGUACAAUUUAAUCUGGAUGUGGAAGACAAUAUUUUUAGCAUCAUCCAGGUUAGUUGAGUUGUGUUUUUUGCUUAUAACUGCCAUCCUCUGAUACUUUUCUUCAUCCCUCUAUUUGAGAAACCUGGUAGAGUUAGUGAU